rnacentral:rRNA from 1 species
UACGAAGGGGGCUAGCGUUGCUCGGAAUCACUGGGCGUAAAGCGCACGUAGGCGGAUAUUUAAGUCGGUGGUGAAAUCCUGGAGCUCAACUCCAGAACUGCCUCCGAUACUGAAUGUCUUCGAGUCCGGGAGAGGUGAGUGGAACUGCGAGUGUAGAGGUGAAAUUCGUAGAUAUUCGCAAGAGCACCAGUGGCGAAGGCGGCUGACUGGUCCGGUUCUGACGCUGAGGCGCGAAAGCGUGGGGAGCAAACAGG